AUGUUUAUUAAACCAAAAAUUUCUUCGACUCAUACUGACUCACAUCUACAACGGUUAACGAGUGCAUAAAAACAAGAGAAAUGGAAAUGCACCAGCGAUUCUCAAAUCAAAAGCCCCAACAGGUUGCUGAGUAUUGGCUCUUAACAAGAAGUAUAAAGCAUUUUAGCUAGACAUAUGUUUGACCAUGAAAGUUGUUAAAUGCACGAUCAUCAAUCAAAAACUUUAUUUUUUAUGUAAACGACACUCUCCUUUAUAUGAUCUAGAUAAUGCAUUCUAAAUAUCAGGUGCAUUACAGAAUAAUAAUUAGCACCACUCAACCAUAUAUAAUCCAGUUCUUCUAACACAGAAUUAGAGGAACAACACUAAAGUAAAUUUUUAUCAUUGCUA